GAUGAAGAACGUAGCGAAAUGCGAUAAGUAGUGUGAAUUGCAGAAUUCAGUGAAUCAUCGAAUCUUUGAACGCACAUUGCGCCCCUUGGAAUUCCAUGGGGCAUGCCUGUUCGAGCGUCAUUUGUACCUUCAAGCUUUGCUUGGUGUUGGGUGUUUGUCCUGAGGGACUCGCCUUAAAGUAAUUGGCAGCCAGUGUUUGGUUUUGAAGCGCAGCACAAGUCGCGAUUCAAAGCUAUACGCCCGCUUCCACAAGCCUUUUUCACUUUUGACCUCGGAUCAGGUAGGGAUACCCGCUGAACUUAAGCAUAUCAAUAAGCGGAGGA
rnacentral:misc_RNA from 1 species